UUUCCGUAGGUGAACCUGCGGAAGGAUCAUUAAAAAAAUGUGGUACCCUAAUUAUUGGUACUAAUUAAUCAUCCUACCCUUUGUGAAUUUGUUUGUAUGAAUUUUUUUAAAUGGGUCUUUCCCUAAGUUGGAUUGUUAGUAAAAAUACAAAAAGACUUAGGGGAAUGACUUUUUUAAAAGACUUUUUUUUAAAUUAAAACUUUUUGUAUUCAUUUGUCUAAGAUUUAUUUUUAUAAUAUAAAAACAACUUUUGACAAUGGAUCUCUUGGUUCUCGCAACGAUGAAGAACGCAGCAAAAUGCGAUAAGUAGUGUGAAUUGCAGAAUACGUGAAUCAUCGAAUCUUCGAACGCAUAUUGCACUUUUUUAGUUUACUAAAAAAGUAUGUCUGUUUGAGUAUCAGUAAAAUAUUCUCACAAACAAUAUUGUUUUGUGGUAAUGAGUGUUUUACAACGAUAAACAAGUUGUUUCACUUUAAAUUCUUUUUGUAAUUUUAUUUACCAAAUUACAUAAUUUAAAAUUGGAUAAAAUUUUCCUUUAACGAGGAAUAACCUAAACAAUUUUUAAAUUUUUUGGUUUGUAAAAAUCAUCAAAGGAAUCUAUAUACAACAAAUAACUUGAUCUCAAAUCAGAUAAGAGUACCCGCUGAACUUAAGCAUAUCAAUAAGCGGAGGAAAAGAAACUAACAAGGAUUCCCUUAGUAACGGCGAGUGAAGCGGGAAGAGCUCAAUUUGAAAUCUUCAAGGUUUUGACCUUGACGAAUAUGUAGUUUAUAGAAGUGUUUUCUGUUGGAGGUUUUGGUAAAAGUUCUUUGGAAUAGGACAUCAUAGAGGGUGAGAAUCCCGUAUUUGACCCAUGACUUUCCAGCUGUGUGAUACACUUUCAAAGAGUCGGAUUGUUUGGGAAUGCAGUCCAAAAUGGGUGGUAAAUUUCAUCUAAAGCUAAAUAUUGGCGAGAGACCGAUAGCGAACAAGUACCGUGAGGGAAAGAUGAAAAGAACUUUGAAAAGAGAGUUAAACAGUACGUGAAAUUGUCAAAAGGGAGCGUUUGACACCAGUGUUGUUUUUCUCGAAAAAUCAAUUUAAUGAGUUCUUGUUUUUAAGUUAUUGUGACUUUAUCAGCGCAUUUCUUAUUUACUUGACUCAUUGAAUGCACUUUUCGUUUAAACAGUCAACAUCAAUUUCUUUUGGUGGUAAAAAGUUUAAAGGAAGGUGGCUUGGACUUCGGUUCAAGUGUUUAUAGCCUUUUUUCUAUGCCAAUCGGAGAGAUUGAGGUCUGCAGCGUAGAUCCUUCGGGGUUAGAUACCUUUGUGCUAAGUUAUAGUUUUUUAUAGACAACUUGUUGACUAUAAUUAACCCUGUAAUUUACUCGCUUAGGCUACUU
rnacentral:misc_RNA from 1 species